GUGGGGAAUCUUGCGCAAUGGGCGAAAGCCUGACGCAGCCAUGCCGCGUGGAUGAUGAAGGUCUUAGGAUUGUAAAAUCCUUUCACCGGUGAAGAUAAUGACUGUAGCCGGAGAAGAAGCCCCGGCUAACUUCGUGCCAGCAGCCGCGGUAAUACGAAGGGGGCUAGCGUUGCUCGGAUUUACUGGGCGUAAAGGGCGCGUAGGCGGACAUUUAAGUCAGGGGUGAAAUCCCGGGGCUCAACCUCGGAACUGCCUUUGAUACUGGGUGUCUUGAGUAUGAGAGAGGUGUGUGGAACUCCGAGUGUAGAGGUGAAAUUCGUAGAUAUUCGGAAGAACACCAGUGGCGAAGGCGACACACUGGCUCAUUACUGACGCUGAGGUGCGAAAGCGUGGGGAGCAAACAGGAUUAGAAACCCGUGUAGUCC
rnacentral:rRNA from 1 species